UACAGAGGGGGCAAGCGUUGUUCGGAAUUACUGGGCGUAAAGCGUGCGCAGGCGGUUUUGUAAGUCUGUCGUGAAAGCCCCGGGCUCAACCUGGGAAUUGCGAUGGAGACUGCAAGGCUUGAAUCUGGCAGAGGGGGGUAGAAUUCCACGUGUAGCAGUGAAAUGCGUAGAGAUGUGGAGGAACACCGAUGGCGAAGGCAGCCCCCUGGGUCAAGAUUGACGCUCAUGCACGAAAGCGUGGGGAUCAAACAGG
rnacentral:rRNA from 1 species